GCGCCGAACAGCCGCGAGCAGCACCCGAAAGGGUCUGUGCGAGGAAAGUCCGGGCUUCACAGAGCGAAAAUAACGGCUAACGGCCGCCGGGGGCGACCCCAGGGAUAGUGCAACAGAAAGUAACCGCAGCUUUGCUUAUUGGCUGGCUGCAAGGGUGGAAAGGUGAGGUAAGAGCUCACCGGAGGGCAGGAGACUGCUCUGCCGUGUAAACCCUAUUUGAAGCAACACCGUGGAAGGACACAAUGCGCUUGCUCGGCGCGUCCUGAGGAGGUGGCAUCGAGCGGUUCGGGCAACCGGCCGCCAAGAUAGAUGGCUGUUCAAGACAGAACCCGGCUUACAGACGCAGU
rnacentral:RNase_P_RNA from 1 species